AAACCAACAGGGAUUGCCUUAGUAACUGCGAGUGAAGCGGCAAGAGCUCAAAUUUGAAAUCUGGCACCUUCGGUGUCCGAGUUGUAAUUUGUAGAAGCAUCUUUUGGAUUGGUCCUUGCAUAUGUUCCUUGGAACAGGACAUCAAAGAGGGUGAGAAUCCCGUUCAUGGUGGGGAAUCCAAUUCUUUGUAAAGUGCUUUCGAAGAGUCGAGUUGUUUGGGAAUGCAGCUCUAAGUGGGUGGUAAAUUCCAUCUAAAGCUAAAUAUUGGCGAGAGACCGAUAGCGAACAAGUACAGUGAUGGAAAGAUGAAAAGAACUCCGAAAGGAGAGUGAAAAAGGACGUGAAAUUGUUGAAAGGGAAGUGCUUGAGAUCAGUCUUAAGGUUUAGUGAUCAGUCUUCCUUUUGGUUGGUGCACUCACUAUUUCUUAGGCCAACAUCAGUUUUGGCGGCAGGACAAUGACAUUGGAAUGUGGCUCUUUCGAGAGUGUUAUAGCCUUUGUUGAUACUGCCUGCUUAGACUGAGGACUGCGCUUAAUUGCUAGGAUGUUGGCAUAAUGAUCUUAAGCAG
rnacentral:rRNA from 1 species